GACAGUUUUAGCGCAUUUUGGUUGGUGCAACACUUGCAUUUUACUCGAAACAGAGCUGAUGGACAGUUUUAGCGCAGUUUGAUGGGUGCAACACGUGCGUUUUACUCUGAACUUUAGAGCUGUUACCGGUUGAUGGUUUUUAGCUGCAGUGUGGUCGGUGCAACACCUGCGUUUUACUCUGAACUUCAGAGCUAGACAAUUUUUAGCUGCUGUUUGGGCGGUAAGACACGUUGCUUUUACUCUGAAAAGAGAACUGUUAGUAGGCAGUAUUUAGCGGCAGGCAGGUCGAUGCAACACAUGUUUUACUCUAAACAGAGCACUGCUCUCUUGUAAUUUGUGCAUAUUUGUAUUAAUGAGAUUUAAAUGAACUUUUUCUUGUCAUCAAGGAUGCAGGCUGUACGUGUGAAGUACAGGGAUUGUCAGAAGUACAUUUGUUUUGAGGGGCAACGGACCUUCAAAUCCUUUUUGGAUUGUGUUGCCAAUAAAUUUGACAUUCCAACCUUGGACUUAAAAGUCUAUGAUGAAUCGAAGACUGAAGUCGAUGAGGAGGUGUUUGAGUUUCUUCUAAAGAAACAAGACCUUGGUGUGCUGGAGAUUUGUUUACCCCAAGACCCAAAUCCUUAUGAUUUGUUGAGCUCCUCUGCAAGCAGCUCCUUAUCAAAAUACAGUGCAGACAAUGAGGGGGACUCGGAUGACACCAUUAUAUUGCAGCAGAGUGCUACAAGAAAGACAGCUGAGGAUAAUCGUCUAUCUCAUAUGAUUGAAGACAUUCUGACGACCAAUCCUGGAGGAGAGAGGAUCAUGAAUGAGUAUGCUCGGACAAAAAGCCUAACAGAUGGCAAAAGACGCGAUAUGGUCAAGAUAUUGGUUGCACAAAUGACAAGUGAACAUGGGUAUAUGUCAUAUACUCAUUACAUACCUUACCACCUAACACAAUUUUUAGCAGAAGUUGUGAUUUACACAUCAAUACUUUUGUUCGGAUCUCAAACAGUAAAGUGUGUGUGUCUAGGACAAGUCCUUCAAGGCGUGUUAAAGAGGACUACUCAAAGGGCAUCAUUGCCUUGUUCCCAAACCUGGCCGAUCCUACUAGCAAGUUUGGUUAUGAGCAUUAUUACAAUGCAGAAGAUGGGAGUGGAUUUCUAGCAUGGAGACUGAAAUUUGUUCAAAGGGAAGCAUCAGUGGGACGACAGAAGGCCAUGUGUCAGUCACUGACAUGGGGUCCGAAAGCUGAUAGAUACCCCUUCAGAGAGGAAAACUGUCCAACAACAGAAUGCCUGUGUUGUGAGGCCAUUGCACUGAUGAAGGAUACGGCUGAGGAAGCAAUUGUAAAGGAGAAGAUGAAGCAGACGUUCGCCUAUCGCCAAAAGAUGGUUCAUGACCCAGUGAAGUCCUCUGAAAUAUUCACAGUGUUUCCAAGAUUCCAAGACAUAGCAGGAAUGAUUGAGCAAGAUUUUAGUCUGAUGUUUGGUGAUGCAACCUCUGCAAAGUUCCUGGAGAAGUGGCCUACUCUCUACAAGCAGAAAGUAAUUGACCAAAGCCGUGGCCUCACACAGACAGGCAACCUACAAGACCUGGUUCAAAAUGCUGAAUCCACAAGGGAAGUGAAAAAUGGAUGGGACAGUGACAUGUCCUCCAUUUUGGUCCUUGUCCACAUUCUUCCACCGUCACCACUUGGCCGCAAGAGACCAGGAAAAGUCUCAGCCAGACACGCCAGUGACCACAUUGUGAAGUUUAUCAAGACUGGGACCAGCAUCCAGGGGCAUCUGGAGAGCGUCAUGGAAAGCUCUCCACCCUAUCUGCUUGCUGUGGGGACCCAGAGGAGUGCGAUUCACAAGUACUUCAUUGUGAUUGACAAGCAUGCAGUACCUUGUAAGUCACCAGACUCUCUUGCCUGUUUUGAUGAGCUUUUCAAAGCUCAUUUUGUCUUUGGUACCUCGUACAACCAGUAUCUGGUCAAUGUGUACAACUUCUUGCAAACCACAAUUUAUGAAAUUGAUGUUGAUACCACUAAGGUUAAUCCUAGGGUUGCAGAGUUGAGGGCUCGGAUGCUGCAUUGAGUUACUAAAAGUUUUGAAGUUGCAAAGGGUUAAAACACAGCAUAGGAAAUAACCGUUUUCAUUUCACACAAACUUUUUCAUAUCAUUCAUCUAAAAUGUGUUUUGCUUGCAAAAGCCUCCAGGCAAAUGCUAAUUCCUUGACAAAACUCUAGAAGUUGGUCCACGGACUUUGUCCAGGAAAGACAGUUAGUCAUGCGGUCAGGCUGGUUGUUCACAAGUUUAUGCCACUUUUUCUGGGUUCAGAAAUCAUCUUUAUAAAGCACAUGAACCUUGUUCUGAUCAUGGUGAAGGCCCCUCUACAGCUGAAUAUGUAGCAGUAAGUCAUUUUGAUGACUUACCAUUAACAAGUUCCCCUUCUGACUCAGUCCUUGUCAAUAAGAGUCUUGUAGACAGCUGCGCUGCAAUCAUUGCUGAACUUAGUGGCAGGUGUAGGUGAAACCACCAUUAACUCUUUGGUAAUUUCCAUGGAAGAGAUAGUUGAUGAUAUUCAAGCUAAAGAAUCUGUGAAGUGUAUAUGUCUAUACAGGAGCCUAUUAAAAGUGACAUUAGGUGUAAAAUUCAUCAGUGUUUUGAAAAAACGUAAUCCUUUUGGUGUACAUCUAGACGUUCCGCUAGCGGAACACCUGCUCCAAUAUCCAAUGAUGGCCGUGGCGCGAAAUACAAACUCCUCUAAAAUCCGAAAACUUCCAUUUUUCAAACAUAUGACUAUUUUACAGCAUUUUAAAGACAAGACUCUCGUUAAUCUAACCACACUGUCCGAUUUCAAAAAGGCUUUACAGCGAAAGCAAAACAUUAGAUUAUGUCAGCAGAGUACCCAGCCAGAAAUAAUCAGACACCCAUUUUUCAAGCUAGCAUAUGUCACAAAAAACAAAACCACAGCUAAAUGCAGCACUAA
rnacentral:lncRNA from 1 species